UUGCUGUAAGGUUUACCCCUUACAGUGAAAAGGUUAUCUUAAUUUACGCUGAUCAUUGAUAAAAUCUAAUUUUUUAUGUUGCAUGUAAUGUUUAUAAUCUGAUUUAGAUAUGAUCUAAGAUUGUGAUCAGAUCUAAUAUAAUUUAGAUUAGAUCUAAAUUCAAACAUAUAUGAUAUGUGAUUAGAUUAGAUGAUCUGAUUAGCAAGUACUUGGUUAGGUUGAUCACCAGGCC
rnacentral:lncRNA from 1 species